GACGAACGCUGGCGGCGUGCUUAACACAUGCAAGUCGAACGGAAAGGCCCUGCUUUUGUGGGGUGCUCGAGUGGCGAACGGGUGAGUAACACGUGAGUAACCUGCCCUUGACUUUGGGAUAACUUCAGGAAACUGGGGCUAAUACCGGAUAGGAGCUCCUGCUGCAUGGUGGGGGUUGGAAAGUUUCGGCGGUUGGGGAUGGACUCGCGGCUUAUCAGCUUGUUGGUGGGGUAGUGGCUUACCAAGGCUUUGACGGGUAGCCGGCCUGAGAGGGUGACCGGCCACAUUGCGACUGAGAUACGGCCCAGACUGCUACGGGAGGCAGCAGUGGGGAAUAUUGCACAAUGGGCGGAAGCCUGAUGCAGCAACGCCGCGUGCGGGAUGACGGCCUUCGGGUUGUAAACCGCUUUCGCCUGUGACGAAGCGUGAGUGACGGUAAUGGGUAAAGAAGCACCGGCUAACUACGUG
rnacentral:rRNA from 1 species